GCCCGGAUAGCUCAGUUGGUAGAGCAGUGGACUGAAAAUCCGCGUGUCGGUGGUUCGAAUCCGCCUCCGGGCA
rnacentral:tRNA from 1 species